GGAAGUAAAAGUCGUAACAAGGUUUCCGUAGGUGAACCUGCGGAAGGAUCAUUACUGAUUUAGGAACCGAGCGUUAGCGAGGUUUUGCGAUCACUUAUAUUUAAAACCCCACUCUUUAAUGUAUAAAAUUUGCAUUAAUGAUAAAUUAAAAGAUCACUUUCAACAACGGAUCUCUUGGCUCUCGCAUCGAUGAAGAACGUAGCGAAGUGCGAUAAGUAAUGUGAAUUGCAGUAUUCCGUGAAUCAUCGAAUCUUUGAACGCAUAUUGCACUUUCUGGUAUUCCGGGAAGUAUGCCUGUUUGAGGGUCAGUUAAAUAAAAUCGGUGUUGUUGCUGCCUUUCGUGGUGACGCGUCGGAAUUGAGUUGUCUUACCCUUCGGUUAAGUGACUUAAAAUUUUAUAUGAUUUUCGAACGUAUUUAAAUUUAUUUGAACGUUUGAUAUCGAAUGCUUAUUAGGUUCGGUCAUCCUCAUGACUCGCGCCUAUAAUUUUUCAUUAAAUGACCUCAAAUCAGGUAAGAAUACCCGCUGAACUUAAGCAUAUCAAUAAGCGGAGGA
rnacentral:rRNA from 1 species